AUUCCAGGUCCAAUAGCGUAUAUUAAAGUUGUUGCAGUUAAAACGCUCGUAGUCGGAUUUCGGGGCGGGCCGACCGGUCUGCCGAUGGGUAUGCACUGGCCGGCGCGUCCUUCCACCCGGAGACCGCGCCUCCUCUUAACUGAGCGGGCGCGGGAGACGGGUCUUUUACUUUGAAAAAAUCAGAGUGUUUCAAGCAGGCAGUCGCUCUUGCAUGGAUUAGCAUGGGAUAAUGAAAUAGGACUCUGGUGCUAUUUUGUUGGUUUCGAACACCGGAGUAAUGAUUAACAGGGACAGUCAGGGGCACUCGUAUUCCGCCGAGAGAGGUGAAAUUCUCAGACCAGCGGAAGACGAACCACUGCGAAAGCAUUUGCCAGGGAUGUUUUCAUUA
rnacentral:rRNA from 1 species